rnacentral:misc_RNA from 1 species
AAGUCGUAACAAGGUCUCCGUUGGUGAACCAGCGGAGGGAUCAUUAAAGAGUUAUUAUAACUCCCAAACCCAUGUGAACUUACCUUCUGUUGCCUCGGCAGGUCUGCAGCUUACCCUGUGAGCCCCUACCCUGUAGGGAACUUACCCUGUAGUUGCAGGUAAAAAACCUGCCGGUGGUCUACUAAACUCUGUUUACUAUGUUAUUCUGAAUAAUAUAACUAAAUAAGUUAAAACUUUCAACAACGGAUCUCUUGGUUCUG